GACGAACGCUGGCGGCGUGCCUAACACAUGCAAGUCGAACGGGGUGUCGGGAGCUUGCUCCUGACACUUAGUGGCGAACGGGUGAGUAACGCGUGAGAAACCUGCCUCUCAGUGGGGGACAACAGUUGGAAACGACUGCUAAUACCGCAUAAUGUAUUCGGAAGGCAUCUUCUGAAUACCAAAGCUUUAUGUGCUGAGAGAUGGUCUCGCGUCUGAUUAGCUAGAUGGCGGGGUAACGGCCCACCAUGGCGACGAUCAGUAGCCGGUCUGAGAGGAUGAACGGCCACAUUGGGACUGAGAUACGGCCCAGACUCCUACGGGAGGCAGCAGUGGGGAAUAUUGGGCAAUGGGGGGAAACCCUGACCCAGCAACGCCGCGUGAAGGAAGAAGGCUUUCGGGUUGUAAACUUCUUUUAGUAGGGACGAAGAACGUGACGGUACCUACAGAAAAAGCAACGGCUAACUACGUG
rnacentral:rRNA from 1 species